CCUACGGGAGGCAGCAGUGGGGAAUAUUGGACAAUGGGGGGAACCCUGAUCCAGCGACGCCGCGUGAGUGAGUACGUAUUUCGGUAUGUAAAGCUCUAUCAGCAGGGAAGAAAGAAAUGACGGUACCUGACUAAGAAGCCCCGGCUAACUACGUGCCAGCAGCCGCGGUAAUCCGUAGGGGGCAAGCGUUAUCCGGAUUUACUGGGUGUAAGGGGAGCGUAGGCGGCGAUGCAAGUCUGAGGUGAAAGGCGGGGGCCCAACCCCCGGACUGCUUUGGAAACUGUAUGGCUGGAGUGCGCGAGAGGUAAGUGGAAUUCGUGGUGUAGCGGUGAAAUGCAUAGAUAUUAGGCGGAACACCAGUGGCGAAGGUGGCUUACUGG
rnacentral:rRNA from 1 species